UCAGAUUGAACGCUGGCGGCAUGCCUUACACAUGCAAGUCGAACGGCAGCACGGGUGCUUGCACCUGGUGGCGAGUGGCGAACGGGUGAGUAAUACAUCGGAACGUACCUUAUCGUGGGGGAUAACGCAGCGAAAGCUGUGCUAAUACCGCAUACGCCCUGAGGGGGAAAGCGGGGGAUCGCAAGACCUCGCGCGAUUAGAGCGGCCGAUGCCUGAUUAGCUAGUUGGUGGGGUAAAAGCCCACCAAGGCGACGAUCAGUAGCUGGUCUGAGAGGACGAUCAGCCACACUGGGACUGAGACACGGCCCAGACUCCUACGGGAGGCAGCAGUGGGGAAUUUUGGACAAUGGGGGCAACCCUGAUCCAGCAAUGCCGCGUGAGUGAAGAAGGCCUUCGGGUUGUAAAGCUCUUUUGUCAGGGAAGAAACACCGGCUCUAACACAGUCCGGGAAUGACGGUACCUGAAGAAUAAGCACCGGCUAACUAC
rnacentral:rRNA from 1 species